rnacentral:misc_RNA from 1 species
AAGGAUCAUUAAAAAUCUAAAAAUAUCUGUUGAAACGUUUGCCUUUUCCUUGGGUGAAACUCUUCGUCGUCGUCAUAUGAAUGAUGAUGAUGCAGACUAUGUACCCCAAGGAUAGUGCGCUUGCAUUUUGAUUUUUGACAUUAAAUUAUAUUGGGUAUUGAGGAAAAAAUAACUUUUAACAAUGGAUCUCUAGGCUCUU